AUACCCUAUUAUUUUGAGUGUAAAUUUUACUUACCUGGGUACUAUUAGUUAAGAUCUUAAAACCCAAAGAAUUUGGCGGUAUCUCAUUCCAUUCAGAGGAACCUAUCCCGUAAUUGAUAAUACACGAUUGACUUUACUUAAUUUAUUUGUUUGUAUAUCUCCGUUAUCAGAAAAUCUUAUUGGAGUUAUAAUUUUCCUGAUUUUUAAUUAAAAAAUAUUUCAGGUCAAGGUGCAGCUUAUGGUUAAGAGGAGAUGGGUUACAAUAAAUUUUUGUUUAUUAUGGAUUUAAUAAUGAAAUAUUAUUAAUGAAGGUGGAUUUGAUAGUAAUUUAAUUUAUUUAAUUUAAUUGAUAUUGGCUCUGAGGUGUGUACACAUCGCCCGUCGCUCUCA
rnacentral:rRNA from 1 species